rnacentral:lncRNA from 1 species
UGAUAUUCGGUUGGGAAAUAUAAUAUUAGGUCAACGUUCAAUUAUUUGUGUUAUAUUAUAUCAUCAUGUAUGUAGCUCAUUUAUGUAAAGAAAAAGAAAUUCAAAAAUUGAACGGAUAAGAACACAUUAAAUAUUUCAAUAUAAAUACAUUAAUGUUAUCCUGAUCCGCUCACCUAAAAAUUUGGUCGCAUUUACUUUCUCCAUCCUUUAAAUAGACGUGCAGCGAAUGAACAAAAUCACACAACUCAAUCAUAGUUUUCUUCGCUAUUAUACACUUUGAGUGGCGGAGCCAAUAUAAAAACUAUAGGGGGCCAUGGCCCCCACCACUUCUCAAUGAUCUACGAUCUGAUACGAAAACAAAUCAUCUCAUCAAUUAUUUAAUAUUAUCGACCCCCUCUAAAAAAAACAUUGUGUCUAAUUGACUCCUUGAAUACAAAAUUUAGGUUUCGCAGCUACGGGGGAUCCAUGUAUAUCCUGUACAUAAAUAUCCACAUUUUGAAUUACUAACGAGCAUUUAAAUGUGAAGCCGACAAGUACAGGUACAUCACCAAAACGUCAUCCUUAUAAAUGGGCUUUAUUUCCUGGCCCACGCAAAGAUGGCCGACCAUGCGAAAGAGGCGAUGCAAGAUUGCGUCACCGAAUUCAUUAGAUUCGUUCGAGUUGCUUGUCGCUCAGAUGGACGAUCUUCACCAUCGCCACCACUGGCGCCGUCGUCGUCGAUCCAUUUAGUAGGCAAGAGAAACACACAAAAUAAGUGAAAAUUGAGUAAAUUAAAUAGGCCAUAUAUACUUGUUUGCUUUCUUUUGUUCUUUGCAAGUGAUUGAGUGUAGAAAAUAUGUGUGGUUCUCGUGCUUUUUACAGAGUUUAUCGGAUUCCGAAAAAAAAGGCCACCAAUUUCGUUACAUAUUCAGAAAAAUACUAGAAUAUAUAUUUAUAUACAUAUUAUUGAAUAAUAGAGC